rnacentral:rRNA from 1 species
UAGUCGUGACUGAGAGGUCGAUCGACCACAUUGGGUCUGAAAAAACCCCAAUGCGUUUUAGUACAGCAGUGAGGAAUAUUGGUCAAUGGCCGAAAGGCUGAACCAGUAACUUGGAAGAAUGAAAGUGUAUUAUAAUAAUACAAUAACGAUUCUCUCGUAUAAAAUUCUAAAUAGAAUAAUGAUAAUGCCGAUUUUCUAUUUAUAAGUCUUGACCAAACUACGUGCCAGCAGUCGCGGUAAUACGUAGAAGACUAGUGUUAGUCAUCUUUAUUAGGUUUAAAGGGUACCUAGACGGUAAAUUAAACUCUAAAUGAGUACUUUUUUACUAGAGUUUUNUGUAAGAAGGNNGAAUUUCUGGAGUAGUGAUAGAAUGUGAUACCAGAGAGACAGGUAACGGCGAAGGCAACCUUCCGUGUAAAAACUGACGUUGAGGGACGAAGGCUAGGGUAGCGAAAAGGAUUAGAUACCCUUGUAGUCCAAGCAGACAAUGAUGAAUGCCAUAGACUAGAUAUAUAUUUAGUUCAUAAAUGAAAAUGUAAGCAUUCCACCUCAAGAGUAAUA